rnacentral:rRNA from 1 species
UGAGGUUAAGCGACUAAGCGUACACGGUGGAUGCCCUGGCAGUCAGAGGCGAUGAAGGACGUGCUAAUCUGCGAUAAGCGUCGGUAAGGUGAUAUGAACCGUUAUAACCGGCGAUUUCCGAAUGGGGAAACCCAGUGUGAUUCGUCACACUAUCAUUACGUGAAUACAUAGCGUAAUGAAGCGAACCGGGGAACUGAAACAUCUAAGUACCCCGAGGAAAAGAAAUCAACCGAGAUUCCCCCAGUAGCGGCGAGCGAACGGGGAGCAGCCCAGAGUCUGAAUCAGCAUGUGUGGUAGUGGAACGGUCUGGAAAGUCCGACGGUACAGGGUGAUAGUCCCGUACACAAAAGUGCAUGUGUUGUGAACUCGAAGAGUAGGGCGGGACACGUGGUAUCCUGUCUGAAUAUGGGGGGACCAUCCUCCAAGGCUAAAUACUCCUGACUGACCGAUAGUGAACCAGUACCGUGAGGGAAAGGCGAAAAGAACCCCGGCGAGGGGAGUGAAAAAGAACCUGAAACCGUGUACGUACAAGCAGUGGGAGCCUCUUUAUGGGGUGACUGCGUACCUUUUGUAUAAUGGGUCAGCGACUUAUAUUCUGUAGCAAGGUUAACCGAAUAGGGGAGCCGAAGGGAAACCGAGUCUUAACUGGGCGUUAAGUUGCAGGGUAUAGACCCGAAACCCGGUGAUCUAGCCAUGGGCAGGUUGAAGGUUGGGUAACACUAACUGGAGGACCGAACCGACUAAUGUUGAAAAAUUAGCGGAUGACUUGUGGCUGGGGGUGAAAGGCCAAUCAAACCGGGAGAUAGCUGGUUCUCCCCGAAAGCUAUUUAGGGUAGCGCCUCGUGAACUCAUCUUCGGGGGUAGAGCACUGUUUCGGCUAGGGGGUCAUCCCGACUUACCAACCCGAUGCAAACUGCGAAUACCGAAGAAUGUUAUCACGGGAGACACACGGCGGGUGCUAACGUCCGUC